UCCGGACGUGCAGGCUCAGCGGCCAUGGCUCACGGACCCAGGGAAAACACUUCUUUCCCACAUCAGAUGUUUCUUAAAGUAUGGAGGGGGUGCCACUAACAUAACACUCGAUACCUCAUUCCAGCGCUUCUAACAAGUUUCCUGAUGUGGCAUUCUGGGAACAACACCUACCCUUUACCAGUGGCCCCACGAGAUUCCACAAAAGAGCUGAAAUCAGUAUUGAAGUGGCCUUAUGAAGAUGGGAGCAGGACUACACUAACUGACUGCUGACUUCUUAGCCAAGGGGGAUAACCAUGUCCUAAGGUGAUCUCAGUGGAAUUUACAGGGACAAGUCUUUGGAGUAGGUGGAGUGGAGAGUUUCUGUAAUCCCGUUCUGCCAGUCAGCAACCCAGUGGUAAGUCUGCCUUGUCCUAGGGUUCAGUGUUGGGAGGCCCACUGGCGCCAUCUCGCCUCCAGC